rnacentral:rRNA from 1 species
ACGUUACCGACAGAAGAAGCACCGGCUAACUCCGUGCCAGCAGCCGCGGUAAUACGGAGGGUGCGAGCGUUAAUCGGAAUUACUGGGCGUAAAGCGCAUGCAGGUGGUUUGUUAAGUCAGAUGUGAAAGCCCGGGGCUCAACCUCGGAAUAGCAUCUGAAACUGGCAGACUAGAGUACUGUAGAGGGGGGUAGAAUUUCAGGUGUAGCGGUGAAAUGCGUAGAGAUCUGAAGGAAUACCGGUGGCGAAGGCGGCCCCCUGGACAGAUACUGACACUCAGAUGCGAAAGCGUGGGGAGCAAACAGGAUUAGAUACCCUGGUAGUCCACGCCGUAAACGAUGUCUACUUGGAGGUUGUGUCCUUGAGCCGUGGCUUUCGGAGCUAACGCGUUAAGUAGACCGCCUGGGGAGUACGGUCGCAAGAUUAAAACUCAAAUGAAUUGACGGGGGCCCGCACAAGCGGUGGAGCAUGUGGUUUAAUUCGAUGCAACGCGAAGAACCUUACCUACUCUUGACAUCCAGAGAACUUUCCAGAGAUGGAUUGGUGCCUUCGGGAACUCUGAGACAGGUGCUGCAUGGCUGUCGUCAGCUCGUGUUGUGAAAUGUUGGGUUAAGUCCCGCAACGAGCGCAACCCUUAUCCUUGUUUGCCAGCGAGUAAUGUCGGGAACUCCAGGGAGACUGCCGGUGAUAAACCGGAGGAAGGUGGGGACGACGUCAAGUCAUCAUGGCCCUUACGAGUAGGGCUACACACGUGCUACAAUGGCGCAUACAGAGGGCGGCCAACUUGCGAAAGUGAGCGAAUCCCAAAAAGUGCGUCGUAGUCCGGAUUGGAGUCUGCAACUCGACUCCAUGAAGUCGGAAUCGCUAGUAAUCGUGGAUCAGAAUGCCACGGUGAAUACGUUCCCGGGCCUUGUACACACCGCCCGUCACACCAUGGGAGUGGGCUGCAAAAGAAAGUAGGUAGUUAACCUUCGGAGGACGCUAACCACGUUUGGGAUC